CAUCAUAUGUGGUCAGUCUUCCUUCAUCAAAAUGUUCCAUGGCAAUCCAAUAGGAUUGAUGCCUCUAAUACCAAUUUUUAUUAGAAAAUAUAAGUUUAUUCAAUUAUUGGCAUCAGUAUACAACAUUGCAUUGCAUAAGCUAAGAAACUUUGUGGCUCUCAUUUUAAUAUGGAACCGAACUGUCUACAACAGCACUGAAGAUGAUGCUGGUUGGUUUCGCAUUCCAAUUGAUAAGGUGGGCGAAAGCCUCUUUCUAAGCAGUCACUCUGGCAAGACUCAUGAGUGCAACCCGCUAAAUCUCUGCAUGAGCGGCGUUGAACUACAAUGCAAUACAUCACAUAAAAAAAUUAGUAAUACAGUCCAUGAAAAAAUAUAUUUUCUCAUAGAUUAAUUAAUUUCAACAUUUGGAAACAGCAUGUAAAAUAUAAAUAGUGUUGCUUACUUGCUUGGCAGGACGGCAACGUUGAGAACAUGAACACAAUGACCAAUAAAGCAACAACUAUGUUGUCCAUGACCAUCCUUGUGUUUCUCUUGAUGAGUGCCAUGAGGAAAAAUGUGACUUAUGUUCAAUCUUUGUUUUUCAUUUCCAAGCUCCUUUACAGGUGUUUAUAUAGAUGCACAAUAAAAUCUUAGAUAUCAAUUGGUUGAUUUCAUGCAUUUAUGUACCUCCCCUAAUUAGUAUCAGCGUAUCUUGCUAGUUUUACAUAAAUACCAAAGAUUUUAUUUUGGAAAAAAAUUAUAUAUUCCAUCAUUAUGGCAUUUAAUGUUGAAGAUAACAUAUUGAGCCAAAAUAAAAUCUUUAGGUAUCGGCACUACAUUUAUGUCUCCAUUAUAAAAUAGUACCCAUACCGAUCUUGUUGGCUAUUUUGUAUCAUCCACACUUAUGUAUGUAUAUCUUACAUUUAUUUUAUAUUAUUUUUUGUGUGGUAUAUUGUUUUAGUAUAUACAGAGGCUUGCACAAUCAAAUCUUAUGCAUUGAUGAAUCUUGCAUACACAUGAUCUCAAAAAUAAGUAUUGCUGGAGUACUCCAUAGUCAUGAAUAUUAGGUAUCAUUAACUUUUUCUGCUAAAUUAAUGUUGAUGUAUCUUACUGAAUCUUCAUAAAUAUCAUGCAACCGUUUGUAUAUGUUAUAAUUAUUGAUAUUGUUUUUUGCUGCAUUUAUUAACCUUUAUUAUAUGGUGGCAUGUAUAAUUAUUGAUAUUGCUUCUUUUCGCUUCAUUUGUAUUAUACAUUGUUAUAAAUUUUGCAUUUAUAUUCUAUCAAUAAUAAAUAAAUGCUUGGACAAACGUAAGCUUGUACUUACUGACGAGUAUGCAGCCCGUCAGUAGCAACAUCAUUGUAGUAAACAUUUCAGAGUUUUUUCCCAUUAUGCUUAUAACCGGCUAUAAUAAUUGAUCUUUAAUGUUUGAUGCUUCAGUGUAUUUAUACAAAUGUCUCCCAUUUUAUUGAACAAAUGGAAGGGCACAGCAACCAAGAUCUUUCUUGUGGGUCUUGCAUAAUUGUAAACUGAUUACAUGGUUUCAUGCUUAUGCACAUCUUACUAUUCCUUAGUUAAAGUAGGAUUUGCAGUACUUUAUGCUUGAGUUGAUGUAUGUCAUCUGAAGUAGAAUGGAGCCUGAACCAAGUUGUAUGACUCAUUUUCACUAGGUUCACAUACUGAUGCUCUUCUGUAUGGAAUGUGAUACUGGGGUAUUAAUACUUAGUGUUGCUAUCUCAGAUAUAGUUAAAAAAAUUCUCCGGUUUUGUAACCUGGUACGGUUGAGUGGUGCAAUACUUUUCAACUAUUUGCACCUUUUAUUUGAAAACAUUGUAAGUUGUUGACGCUGAAAAGUGGCACGAUCAUAAAGAGUAGCUUGAGUUAUGUCAAGAUUAAUUCAGACUUAUUGUUGAAGUCACUAUGGGAUGGAUCUCUUCGAGAAGAUCAAAAUGGAUAUGAAGAUGGUCUAAAACAGAGCCCAGAUGCAAAAGUUGUGACAAGUUCAAAGAUUGGAUAUAGUAUUGACCCUAUAGUCUCGGUAGCCGAACCGGGACUGAAGGUAUUGGGAUUUAGGACCAACCCUAUAGUCCCGGUUCACGAACCGGGACAAAUGGGCCUUAUGAACUGGGACGAAUGGGCCUUUUUCUACUAGUGCAUAUUGGACCUACCCAAUAAAUAUUUCAGAAAUUCAUAAUAAAUCCUAGAGGCUAGCUUGGACCAUUCACGCAUGUCAAGAGCUGGGACUAAAGUUUAGUCCCACAUUGCUAGUUGAGAGAGAGUUAAACCUCCUCAUAAGGUGAGCUCUUUCCCCACUUGUAUGAGCAUGAUAAAAAAGAGAGGUUCUCACGCGCUCCUCCUCUGCCGCCUGCCUCGCCUCACCUUGCCUCAUCACGACACACUGCGUCACGCCACGGGCUGCGGGAAUGCCUAGAGCAUGCAUGAAGCUGAAGCGUUUUGUUGCUGUAGUUAGUGGAGAUUGGUUACGAGGUUUGUUGGGCUUUGGCUGCCACGUCUCCGUCUCCCGUCUCAUUGUUUUAUUUCCCUUCGCAGCCUAUUUUCCUCCUCUUUCUGUGCUUAUAAAAUAGAGGUCUCUCCUCUCCAUAGACACACAGAAACAAAGCACCACUUGCCUCCUACUACCAAGUUCCAGAGCACUGCGCUACCAGGUUCUUCCCCAUCCCGGCUUAUGACGUGCAGUGCCGAUUGGGACAGUAGGCCUCCGGAACCACGCGACAUUGAGGCAUGUACGGGUGAAGGAAAAUAAGGUGUUUGGGGAACGCUCUGUGCGACUACUGGCUUCUCCACCCCAGAUGUCGCUACAGACGUCGAAGACACUUUCCCCAAUGAUGAAUUCUUUUAGGACAUCGGCAACCUCUUCGGUAAUAAGGGCAACAGCAUCACGAAUGCCGCCGCCCCUGCUCCUAUCUAGGACGUGUUCACUUCUCCUUUGUUUAAUAUGUUUUUUUCCUGAUUUUAGUUCAAUUUCUUGGUCUAGUAAUUGGACUAGAUAUGCCAUGUUCAAAUUCACUACUACAUAUGUUAUUUUCUCACUCUCCGAUAGACUACAUGUCUAGUUUAAUCUUUACUAUUAUGGUCAUGUUUUAUCUACUAUUUUUAUGGAAUAAAUCAUAUGGUAAACUGCUCAUAUUUUCAACAUGCCCCAUGUACAUGUAUUGGUGUAACAAACACAUCCUAUGUGGUCGGUCUUCCUUCAUCAAAAUGUUCCAUGGCAAUCCAAUGAGAUUGAUGCCUCUAAUACCUAUGUUUAUAAGAAAAUAUAAGUUUAUUCAAUUAUUGGCAUCAGUAUACAGAAUUGCAUUGCAUAAGCUGAGAAACUUUGUGGCUCUCAUUUUGAUAUGGAACCGAAUUGUCUACAGCAGCACUGAAGAUGAUGCUGGUUGGUUUCGCAUUCCAAUUGAUAAGGUGGGCGAAAGCCUCUUUCUAAGCAGUCACUCUGGCACGACUCAUGAGUGCAACCCGCUAAAUCUCUGCAUGAGCGUCGUUGAACUACAAUGCAAUACAUCACAUAAUAAAACAAAUUAGUAAUACAGUCCAUAAAACAAAAAAAAUUGCUCAUAGAUUAAUUAAUUUCAACAUUUGGAAACAACAUGUAAAAUAUAAAUAAUGUUGCUUACUUGCUUGGCAGGACGACAACGUUGAGAACAUGAACACAAUGACCAAUAAAGCAACAGCUAUGUUGUACACGACCAUCAUUGUGUUUCUCUUGAUGAGUGCCAUGAGGAAAAAUGUGACUUAUGUUCGAUCUUUGUUUUUCAUUUCCAAGCACCUUUACAGGUGUUUAUAUAGACACACAAUAAAAUCUUAGAUAUCAAUUGGUUGAUUUCAUGCAUUUAUGUACCUCCCCUAAUUAUUAUAAGUGUAUCUUGCUAGUUUUACAUAAAUACCAAAGAUUUUAUUUUAGAAAAAAUUAUAUAUUUCAAUAUUAUGGCAUUUAAUGUUGAAGAUAACAUAUUGAGCCAAAAUAAAAUCUUUAGGUAUCGGCACUACAUUUAUGUCUCCAUUAUAAAAUAGUACCCAUACCGAUCUUGUUGGCUAUUUUGUAUCAUCCACACUUAUGUAAGUAUAUCUUACAUUUAUUUUACAUUAUUUUUUGUGUGGUAUAUUGUUUUAGUAUAUACAGAGGCUUGCACAAUCAAAUCUUAUGCAUUGAUGAAUCUUGCAUAUACGAGAUCUCAAAAAUAAAUAUUGCUGUUGUACUCCAUACUCAAGAAUAUUAGGUAUCAUUAUUGCACUUUUUCUGCUAAAUUAAUGUCAAUGUAUCUUACUGAGUCUUAAUAAAUAUCAUGCAAUCGUUUGUAUAUGUUAUAAUUAUUGAUAUUAUUUUUUGCGGCAUUUAUUGACCUCUAUUAUAUGGUGGCAUACAUAAUUAUUGAUAUUGCUUCUUUUCGCUUCAUUUGUAUUAUACAUUGUUAUAAAUUUUGCAUUUAUAUCCUAUCAACAAUAAAUAAAUGCUUGGACAAACGUAAGCUUGUACAUACUGACGACUAUGCAGCCCGUAUGUAGCAACACCAUUGUAGUAAACAUUUCAGAGUUUUUCCCGUUAUGCUUAUAAUCGGCUAUAAUAAUUGAUCUUUGAUGUUUCAUGCUUCAGGGUAUUUAUAAAAAUGUCCCCUGUUUUAUUGAACAAAUGGAAGGGCACAACAACCAAGAUCUUUCUUGUGGGUCUUGCAUAAUUGUAGACUGAUUACAUGGUUUCAUGCUUAUGCACAUCUUAUUAUUCCUAAGUUAAAGUAGGAUUUGCAGUGCUUUAUGCUUGAGUUGAUGUAUGUCAUCUGAAGUAGAAUGGAGCCUGAACCAAGUUGUAUGACUCAUUUUCACUAGGUGCACAUACUGCUGCUCUUCUAUAUGGAAUGUGAUACUGGGGUAUUAAUACUUAGUGUUGCUAUCUCAGAUAUUGCUAAAAAAAUCUCCGGUUUUGUAACUUGGUACGCUUUAGUGGUGCAAUACUUUUCAACUAUUUGCACCUUUUAUUUAAAAGCAUUGUAACCCGUUGACGCUGAAAAGUGGCACGAUCAUAAAGAGUAGCUUGAACUAUGUCAAGAUUAAUUCAAAAUUAUUGUUGAAUUCACUAUGGGAUGGAUCUCUUCGAGAAGAUCAAAAUGGAUAUGAAGAUGGUCUAAAACAGAGCCCGAAUGCAAAAGUUGUGACAAGUUCAAAGAUUGGAUAUAGUAUCGACCGUAUGGUCUCGAUAGCCGUACCGGGACUAAAGGUAUUGGGUUUUAGCGCCGACCCUAUAGUCCCGGUUCCCAGACCAGGACAAAUGGGCCUCAUGAACUGGGACAAAUGGGCCUUUUUCUACUAGUGCAUAUUGGUCCUGCCCAAUAAAUAUUUCAGAAAUUCAUAAUAAAUCCUAGAGGCUAGCUUGGACCAUUCACGCAUGUCAAUAGGUGGGACUAAAGUUUAGUCCUAUAUUGCUAGUUGAGAGAGAGUUACACCUCCUCAUAAGGUGAGCUCUUUCCCCACUUGUAUGAGCAUGAUAAAAAGAGAGGUUCUCACGCGCUCCUCCUCUGCCGCCUGCCUCGCCUCACCUUGCCUCAUCACGACACACUGCGUCACGCCACGGGCUGCGGGAAUGCCUAGAGCAUGCAUGAAGCUGAAGCGUUUUGCUGCUGUAGUUAGUGGAGAUUGGUUACGAGGUUUGUUGGGCUUUGGCUGCUACGUCUCCAUCUCCCGUCUCUUUGUUUCAUUUCCCGUCGCAGCCUAUUUGCCUCCUCUUUCUGUGCUUAUAAAAUAGAGGUCUCUCCUCUCCAUAGACACACAGAAACAGAGCAUCACUUGCCUCCUACUACCAAGUUCCAUAGCACUGCGCUACCAGGUUCUUCCUCAUCCCAGCUUACGGCGUGCACCGCUGAUAGGGGAGAAUGAACACGUCCUAUACAGCCUAUUUGCCUCCUCUUUCUGUGCUUAUAAAAUAGAGGUAUCUCCUCUCCAUAGACACACAGAAACAGAGCACCACUUGCCUCCUACUACCAUGUUCCAGAGCACUACGCUACCAGGUUCUUCUCCAUCCCGGCUUAUGGCGUGCAUCACCGAUAGGGACAGUAGGCCUCCGGAACCACGCGACAUUGAGUCAUGCACGGGUGAAGGGAAAUAAGGUGUUUGGGGAGCGCUCUGUGCGACUACUGGCUUCUCCACCCCAGAUGUCGCUACAGAUGUUGAAGACACUUUCCCCAAUGAUGAAUUCUUUUAGGACAUCGGCAACCUCUUCGGUAACAAGGGCGACAGCAUCGUGAAUGGUGCCGCCCCUGCUCCUGUCUAGGACGUGUUCAUUCUCCGCUAUUUAAUAUGUUUUUUCCUGAUUUUAGUUCAAUUUCCUGUUCUAGUAAUUGGACUAGAUAUGCCUUGUUCAAAUUCACUACUACAUAUGUUAUUUUCUCACUCUCUAUUAGACUACAUGUCUAGUUUAAUCUUUACUAUUAUGGUCAUGUUUUAUCUACUAUUUUUAUGUAUUAAAUCAUAUGGUAGACUGCUCAUAUUUCCAACACGCCCCAUGUACAUGUAUGGGUGUAACAAACACAUCCUAUGUGGUCAGUCUUCCUUCAUUAAAAUGUUCCAUGGCAAUCCAAUGAGAUUGAUGCCUCUAAUACCUAUGUUUAUAAGUUUAUUCAAUUAUUGGCAUCAGUAUACAGCAUUGCAUUGCAUAAGCUGAGAAACUUUGUGGCUCUCAUUUUAAUAUGGAACUGAAUUGUCUACAGCAGCACUGAAGAUGAUGCUGGUUGGUUUCACAUUCCAAUUGAUAAGGUGGACGAAAGCCUCUUUCUAAGCAGUCACUCUGGCACGACUCAUGAGUGCAACCCGCUAAAUCUCUGCAUGAGCGUCGUUGAACUACAAUGCAAUCCAUCACAUAAUAAAAAAAAUUAGUAAUACAGUCCAUAGAACAAAAAUAUUUGCUCAUAGAUUAAUUAAUUUCAACAUUUGGAAACAGCAUGUAAAAUAUAAAUAAUGUUGCUUACUUGCUUGGCAGGACGGCAACUUUGAGAACAUGAACACAAUGACCAAUAAGGCAACAGCUAUGUUGUACAUGACCAUCCUUGUGUUUCUCUUGAUGAGUGCCAUGAGGAAAAAUAUGACUUAUGUUCAAUCUUUGUUUUUCAUUUCCAAGCUCCUUUACAGGUGUUUAUAUAGACGCAC
rnacentral:lncRNA from 1 species